GACGAACGCUGGCGGCGUGCUUAACACAUGCAAGUCGAACGGAAAGGCCCCUUUGGGGGUACUCGAGUGGCGAACGGGGGAGUAACACGUGAGUAACCUGCCCUUGACUUCGGGAUAACUUCAGGAAACUGGGGCUAAUACCGGAUAGGAAUCAUUGCUGCAUGGUGGGGGUUGGAAAGCUUCGGCGGUUUUGGAUGGACUCGCGGCUUAUCAGCUUGUUGGUGGGGUAGUGGCUUACCAAGGCGUCGACGGGUAGCCGGCCUGAGAGGGCGACCGGCCACAUUGGGACUGAGAUACGGCCCCGACUCCUACGGGAGGAAGAAGGGGGGAAUCUUGCACCAGGGGCGGCAGCCGGAUGCAGCAACGCCGCGUGCGGGAUGACGGCCUUCGGGUUGAAAACCGCUUUCAGCAGGGGCGAAGCUUGUGGUGACGGUACCUGCAGAAGAAGCACCGGCUAACUACGUG
rnacentral:rRNA from 1 species